rnacentral:sRNA from 1 species
GCUGGGUGUGGUGGUGCACACUUAUAAUCACAGCUACUCGGGAGGCUGAGGCAGGAGGAUUUAGAGUUCAAGGCCAGCUUGGGCAACUUAGCAAGUCCCUGUCUCAA